rnacentral:rRNA from 1 species
AACGCUAGCUACAGGCUUAACACAUGCAAGUCGAGGGGCAGCAUGGUCUUAGCUUGCUAAGGCCGAUGGCGACCGGCGCACGGGUGAGUAACACGUAUCCAACCUGCCGUCUACUCUUGGACAGCCUUCUGAAAGGAAGAUUAAUACAAGAUGGCAUCAUGAGUCCGCAUGUUCACAUGAUUAAAGGUAUUCCGGUAGACGAUGGGGAUGCGUUCCAUUAGAUAGUAGGCGGGGUAACGGCCCACCUAGUCUUCGAUGGAUAGGGGUUCUGAGAGGAAGGUCCCCCACAUUGGAACUGAGACACGGUCCAAACUCCUACGGGAGGCAGCAGUGAGGAAUAUUGGUCAAUGGGCGAUGGCCUGAACCAGCCAAGUAGCGUGAAGGAUGACUGCCCUAUGGGUUGUAAACUUCUUUUAUAAAGGAAUAAAGUCGGGUAUGCAUACCCGUUUGCAUGUACUUUAUGAAUAAGGAUCGGCUAACUCCGUGCCAGCAGCCGCGGUAAUACGGAAGGUCCAGGCGUUAUCCGGAUUUAUUGGGUUUAAAGGGAGCGUAGGCCGUCUGUUAAGCGUGUUGUGAAAUGUAGAUGCUCAACAUCUGAAUUGCAGCGCGAACUGGCAGACUUGAGUGUGCGCAACGUAGGCGGAAUUCGUGGUGUAGCGGUGAAAUGCUUAGAUAUCACGAAGAACUCCGAUUG